AUACCUUGUCCAUAGACUUGGUAAACUAUCCCUUUAGUCUACCAAAGCCUUGAACUUUAGGCUAUGAAAGCGGUACACCAAGUUAGGAACAAAUAGUCAGAUGCAUCUUUCAUGCCUAGGGUUUCCACUUACGUUGGCAAUGGAAUGGUCUCCAUCUAAAGUUCUGGCAGGUAGUAGUGGGCCUAUUUGGAAACCCGAUCCUCUGCUCUGUCUCUCGAGACAAAUUUAGUCGGGAUAAAUGGAUCCUCACGCAAAAGGAUGACACACACACACACACACACACACAAUGCUGUGAUAAUAACACUGUAUCUGCCGGGGUUAUUGAGGUAACAACCACACAAGUUUAUUGGGAUCCAGCUUGGAAAUCCUGUAUCUUUCGGGCUUCAUUUUUCUCCUGUAAACUGAUGGCCCUAACAUCAGAGACGAUGACAGAGAUAUGUCUAGACCUGGACUGCUUCGACGAGGAGAGGAAACUGUACUCGGCAGAAUCACUGAACGACCUCCACAAGAUGAACGUGUGCUCCGACCCCAAGGACCUGCUGAAACUCACAGAACAGCCAAUGAGCUCUCAGACCACACCCACUGCUGGGGAAAGAAGAGACUGCCUGGGUGGUGUGACGCAGCUGGUAAAUGUACACAGUGCUGUUGGCAUCGAAGAGGAGCGCAUCAAGACUCUACACACCAGUGAUGUAGAGGAGGGCAGUAAAACAUCCCACACUCACCCUCGACCCAGACUGUUCCUCAUCCUCUUCAUCCUCCCGACUUUGGCCCUGCUGCUGAUCCUGGUGCUGUCUGCCUACGCUGUCUUACUCAUGGUCGAGACAGCAUCUAGGAUGGGUGAGUUAGCAGGCGUUAGUGAGGUGGAGAGGACUUACCUGGAGGAGAUGAGACAGUGGAAGACUCUCCUUCAGCAGUACCUGGACCUCAGCCAGAACCACUGCUCAUAGUGAGAUACAGGAGGCCAGGGUGCAUUGGAAGACACCUGUGAGUGAGCAGCACGAGCCAGCUAGAGCUCUGGCAGUGGAGCCAACGCCUCAGCGGGAACCCGACUUUAUCUCCUCUUUAGAAACAUUGCCUAGGAGCCCAAAACACAGCCACCCUGACAGGAAGGGAGAGACAGGGGCCAAUACUGAAUACUUUACCUAUAUCAUGUGCUAAACAUCCUUUCAUUCCCUUAAUAUGCUGGUGAGUGAGACUAUUCUGUACCCUUUCGUAGCCUCCUUACACUUGUUAAUAAAAACAUUAUUAUACUUCCUCUU
rnacentral:lncRNA from 1 species